rnacentral:rRNA from 1 species
AACGAACGCUGGCGGCAUGCCUAACACAUGCAAGUCGAACGAGACCUUCGGGUCUAGUGGCGCACGGGUGCGUAACGCGUGGGAACCUGCCCUUAGGUUCGGAAUAACUCCCCGAAAGGGGUGCUAAUACCGGAUAAUGUCUUCGGACCAAAGAUUUAUCGCCUUUGGAUGGGCCCGCGUUAGAUUAGCUAGUUGGUAGGGUAAAAGCCUACCAAGGCGACGAUCCAUAGCUGGUCUGAGAGGAUGAUCAGCCACACUAGGACUGAGACACGGCCCAGACUCCUACGGAAGGCAGGAGUGGGGAAUAUUGGACAAUGGGCGAAAGCCUGAUCCAGCAAUGCCGCGUGAGUGAUGAAGGCGUUAGGGUUGUAAAGCUCUUUUACCCGGGAUGAUAAUGACAGUACCGGGAGAAUAAGCUCCGGCUAACUCCGUG